CAUGCAAGUCGAACGGUAACAGGUCUUCGGACGCUGACGAGUGGCGAACGGGUGAGUAAUACAUCGGAACGUGCCCAGUCGUGGGGGAUAACUACUCGAAAGAGUAGCUAAUACCGCAUACGAUCUGAGGAUGAAAGCGGGGGACCUUCGGGCCUCGCGCGAUUGGAGCGGCCGAUGGCAGAUUAGGUAGUUGGUGGGAUAGAGAGCUUACCAAGCCGACGAUCUGUAGCUGGUCUGAGAGGACGACCAGCCACACUGGGACUGAGACACGGCCCAGACUCCUACGGGAGGCAGCAGUGGGGAAUUUUGGACAAUGGGCGAAAGCCUGAUCCAGCAAUGCCGCGUGCAGGAUGAAGGCCUUCGGGUUGUAAACUGCUUUUGUACGGAACGAAAAAGCUUCUCCUAAUACGAGAGGCCCAUGACGGUACCGUAAGAAUAAGCACCGGCUAACUACGUGCCAGCAGCCGCGGUAAUACGUAGGGUGCGAGCGUUAAUCGGAAUUACUGGGCGUAAAGCGUGCGCAGGCGGUUAUGUAAGACGGAUGUGAAAUCCCCGGGCUCAACCUGGGAACUGCAUUUGUGACUGCAUGGCUAGAGUACGGUAGAGGGGGAUGGAAUUCCGCGUGUAGCAGUGAAAUGCGUAGAUAUGCGGAGGACACCGAUGGCGAAGGCAAUCACCUGGACCUGUACUGACGCUCAUGCAC
rnacentral:rRNA from 1 species